UCUGACACAGGUGCUGCAUGGCUGUCGUCAGCUCCGUGUCGUGAGGAUGUUGGGUUAAGUCCCGUAACGAGCGCAACCCUUGUCCUUAGUUACCAGCACGUUAUGGUGGGCACUCUAAGGAGACUGCCGGUGACAAACCGGAGGAAGGUGGGGAUGACGUCAAGUCAUCAUGGCCCUUACGGCCUGGGCUACACACGUGCUACAAUGGUCGGUACAAAGGGGUUGCCAAGCCGCGAGGUGGAGCUAAUCCCAUAAAACCGAUCGUAGUCCGGAUCGCAGUCUGCAACUCGACUGCGUGAAGUCGGAAUCGCUAGUAAUCGUGAAUCAGAAUGUCACGGUGAAUACGUUCCCGGGCCUU
rnacentral:rRNA from 1 species